UAGCAACCAAGCUGGUCCUUGCCCAC
rnacentral:piRNA from 1 species